CGGCUGGCAAGUCGAACGAACUCUGGUAUUGAUUGGUGCUUGCAUCAUGAUUUACAUUUGAGUGAGUGGCGAACUGGUGAGUAACACGUGGGAAACCUGCCCAGAAGCGGGGGAUAACACCUGGAAACAGAUGCUAAUACCGCAUAACAACUUGGACCGCAUGGUCCGAGUUUGAAAGAUGGCUUCGGCUAUCACUUUUGGAUGGUCCCGCGGCGUAUUAGCUAGAUGGUGGGGUAACGGCUCACCAUGGCAAUGAUACGUAGCCGACCUGAGAGGGUAAUCGGCCACAUUGGGACUGAGACACGGCCCAAACUCCUACGGGAGGCAGCAGUAGGGAAUCUUCCACAAUGGACGAAAGUCUGAUGGAGCAACGCCGCGUGAGUGAAGAAGGGUUUCGGCUCGUAAAACUCUGUUGUUAAAGAAGAACAUAUCUGAGAGUAACUGUUCAGGUAUUGACGGUAUUUAACCAGAAAGCCACGGCUAACUACGUGCCAGCAGCCGCGGUAAUACGUAGGUGGCAAGCGUUGUCCGGAUUUAUUGGGCGUAAAGCGAGCGCAGGCGGUUUUUUAAGUCUGAUGUGAAAGCCUUCGGCUCAACCGAAGAAGUGCAUCGGAAACUGGGAAACUUGAGUGCAGAAGAGGACAGUGGAACUCCAUGUGUAGCGGUGAAAUGCGUAGAUAUAUGGAAGAACACCAGUGGCGAAGGCGGCUGUCUGGUCUGUAACUGACGCUGAGGCUCGAAAGUAUGGGUAGCAAACAGGAUUACAUACUCUGGUAGUCCAUACCGUAAACGAUGAAUGCUAAGUGUUGGAGGGUUUCCGCCCUUCAGUGCUGCAGCUAACGCAUUAAGCAUUC
rnacentral:rRNA from 1 species